rnacentral:rRNA from 1 species
CCUACGGGAGGCAGCAGUGGGGAAUAUUGGACAAUGGGCGAAAGCCUGAUCCAGCCAUGCCGCGUGUGUGAAGAAGGUCUUCGGAUUGUAAAGCACUUUAAGUUGGGAGGAAGGGAUGUAGAUUAUUACUCUGCAACUUUGACGUUACCGACAGAAUAAGCACCGGCUAACUCUGUGCCAGCAGGCGCGGUAAU